UAGUGAAAAUACAAACCAACUCGAAGAAAAAUACUGAUUUGCUGUGUAAACUAAAGGAAAUGCCACCCAAAAUUCGAUGCUUCGGCGCACAAGAAAAUGCUAGCCAAAUAUAUAACUCAGCAUCCCCUGUUCGCCUACACCUACAGGGAGAUCCAUGAGCCUCUCGGAACCCAGAGAUACAAAAUGCAAUGCUGCACAGUGCACACAAGUUCUAAGAUCUAGAAGAAAGGAUUGAAGAUUCAUAACAUAUUGGAGGCUUGAGAGACCAUGCGAUGCAUCUCAGGCACUAUCCGAUCUACAACCGCCACUGGCUGCCGGCAUUGAGUCACAUUGCCCCUCCUCACAUCCGACGACUCAAGGCGUUGAAGAGGGAGGCUGAGAAUAUCACGAAUAACCCCACAAUGCCUGUCCACGAGGAAUUCUGCCGCUCGACUGCCCGCCGACCCUGUGCUACAGCUGGGAGCCUGAGCAGCUUUAAUAUUUCGGAUAGGUGGAUAGCGGAAUGGUCUGCUUCGGCAGCUCGGAGUAGCUGUAUAUCUGACCCAAAGCCAAAAGGGUUUGACCUUCCUCGGAAAAUCUGGUGCCGCCUGAGAACCGGACAUGGCCGCUGAAUGCCCUCAUCAGUUUAUGAUAUGAAAUGAAAUGAAAUCACUUUAUGGGAGCAUUCCACGAGCUGUCCCAU